CUCGCGAGAGCAAGCGGACCUCAUAAAGUGCGUCGUAGUCCGGAUUGGAGUCUGCAACUCGACUCCAUGAAGUCGGAAUCGCUAGUAAUCGUGGAUCAGAAUGCCACGGUGAAUACGUUCCCGGGCCUUGUACACACCGCCCGUCACACCAUGGGAGUGGGUUUCAAAAGAAGUAGGUAGCUUAACCUUCGGGAGGGCGCUUACCACUUUGUGAUUCAUGACUGGGGUGAAGUCGUAACAAGGUAACCGUAGGGGAACCUGCGGUUGGAUCACCUCCUUACUUUAAAGAAGC
rnacentral:rRNA from 1 species